GAUGAACGCUGGCGGCGUGCUUAACACAUGCAAGUUGAACGAAGUGGCGGAUGGGCGAGUAACACGUGAGGAACCUGCCUUUCACAGGGGAAUAACCCUGGGAAACCAGUGCUAAUACCGCAUAGUGAAAGAUGGCCUCGCGCCGGAUUAGCUAGUAGGUGAGGUAACGGCUCACCUUGGUGAUGAUCAGUAGCGGGCCUGGAACGCGACCGGCGACAAUGGGCCUAGGCUACGGCGCAAGGCCGUACGGGGGGCAGCGGUGGGGAGUAUUACACAAUGGGGAGAGCCUGAUGCAGCGACGCCGCGUGCGGGAUGACGGCCUUCUGGUUGUAAACCGCUUCGGCCAUGACGCGGUAGUGGCAGAAGAAGCACCGGCUAACUACGUGCCAGCAGCCGCGGUAAUUC
rnacentral:rRNA from 1 species